rnacentral:rRNA from 1 species
GACGAACGCUGGCGGCGUGCCUAAUACAUGCAAGUCGAGCGAACCUUUGGGAGCUUGCUCCCAGAGAUUAGCGGCGGACGGGUGAGUAACACGUGGGCAACCUGCCCUGUAGACUGGGAUAACACCGAGAAAUCGGUGCUAAUACCGGAUAACACCUUUCUUCUCAGGGAGGAAGGUUAAAAGUUGGGAUUACUAACACUACUGAUGGACCCGCGGUGACAUUAGCGAGUUGGCGAGGUAACGGCUCACCAAGGCAACGAUGCGUAGCCGACCUGAGAGGGUGAUCGGCCACACUGGGACUGAGACACGGCCCAGACUCCUACGUGAGGCAGCAGUAGGGAAUCUUCCGCAAUGGACGAAAGUCUGACGGAGCAACGCCGCGUGAGCGAAGAAGGCCUUCGGGUCGUAAAGCUCUGUUGUUAGGGAAGAACAAGUACCGUUCGAAUAGGGCGGUACCUUGACGGUACCUGACGAGAAAGCCACGGCUAACUACGUGCCAGCCGCCGCCGUAAAAC